CCUACGGGUGGCAGCAGUCGAGAAUCAUUCACAAUGGGGGAAACCCUGAUGGUGCGACGCCGCGUGGGGGAAUGAAGGUCUUCGGAUUGUAAACCCCUGUCAUGUGGGAGCAAAUUAAAAAGAUAGUACCACAAGAGGAAGAGACGGCUAACUCUGUGCCAGCAGCCGCGGUAAUACAGAGGUCUCAAGCGUUGUUCGGAAUCACGGGGCGUAAAGCGUGCGUAGGCUGUUUCGGAAGUCGGGUGUGAAAGGCGCGGGCUCAACCCGCGGACGGCACAUGAUACUGCGAGACUAGAGUAAGGGAGGGGGAACCGGAAUUCUCGGUGUAGCAGUGAAAUGCGUAGAUAUCGAGAGGAACACUCGUGGCGAAGGCGAGUUCCUGGACAGUAACUGACGCUGAGGCACGAAAGCCAGGGGAGCGAAAGGGAUUAGAUACCCUAGUAGUC
rnacentral:rRNA from 1 species